rnacentral:misc_RNA from 1 species
CAACCCUCAAGCCUAGCUUGGUCUUGGGCUCUGCCGGCAACGGCUGGCCUUAAAAUCAGUGGCGGUGCCAUCGAGCUCUACGCGUAGUAAUUAAACCCUCGCGUGUGAGUCUUGGUGGAUGCUUGCCAGCAACCCCCAAUUUUCUAU